rnacentral:ribozyme from 1 species
GAAAGAAAAUGAAAAAAAGAAAAAGAGGAGAAAUAUGAAAAAAGUGUUGUGUGUGUGUAUACAUACACAUCUUUAACUAAAAUAUUCCAUUCUUGUUGUUAUUUCUCUCCUUUUAUAUGCUUACGUACAUAUAUACCCCCAUUUUUCUGAAAAG